UUCAUCUUCAUGCUCGCGCUCAUCUGAAGCCCGAUCCACAUUCUCUCUGGAGCAUGAACGAGACAGCACCAUUACUGACAUGGAUACAGGAAUCUGCAGAACGCUGCAAUGAGCAAACCUCACAUUAUCCAGCAAAUAUUUGAUAGGGAUGCCUGGCGGAGCUGUUCUCCACAGCUGCCGCCACUAUUAAUUAUCUGUCAUCAUCAGAACUCCUGGCAGCUGUGGUGCGGCACAUCUGAGAAUCAUCCUCGCAAUAAAAGCCGGUCUCACACUCCACACUCUGCCAGAUUGUAAACUCUGCUAUAGCAGUCAGUUUACUCUAGCUACCUUAUAGUUCAUUUCUCAUGAGAAAACCCUGUACCAAUAUUAUCUUUUCCUUCCUAGAUCGCCGAGCAGCUGCCCGGUUCUCCAGCCCCGCUUACCCCCUGCAGUCUCCGGAUUCCCCUCCUGACCAGAUCUCGUUCCCCCCCUCCUGCUCCUGGACCCCAAUCUGCCGAGCUCCAGCCCCUGGAAGGAUUCCACCAGUUGCGCACCUCUGUCCCCGGAAAACCCAGCCUGCUGCCUCCCUGGCGUUCUCCGCCGCCAACCAGUGUCCACCACCAAAGACUCCAACCGGACCGCCGGUCCCUGGUACCGUCACCCUCCUCCCCCACCAAUUCCCCGUAGUUAGUCACUCAGUCUUCACACUCCCUAGCCCCCCUCAGCACUCCAUCCAGAAUUACCAUUAUAUAAUAAAUCCGUCUUUGAUCCAGUCUCGCCUCCUCUGUGUGCUCUCUGCUUGGGUUCACCCCUCACCUUAACAAGCAGGUUACCCACCAUCAUGCAUUAUGUGUAAAACUAAUAAUAUUGUAUAAUAUAUGGAUCAAAGUGUUUCAAGUUAUUUUUUUCGAGAAGAACAUGGUGUAUCUACCUUCCCUUGAAUAUCUUUAAAUAUUUAAAUAUUGCUAAAAAACAAAACAAAAAAGAGGCAAAGGGAAGAGAGAACUUUUGUAUCAGACGGCUCCACAACAGUUUCAAUGUAUGAAUGUGUACAGUGCUUUGCAUGUAGCAAAUGAAUGAGGUGAUCGAACUGACAGUGGCAGCGAGUGUGUCUGACCUUCCUGUACACAGUCUGCAGUGAAGGGUCCACAUCCUCCUCCAUGUGGAAGAGAGGGGGCCUUGUAGAGGAUUCCUUUAUAGGGUCGGGCAGAGCCAUGAUCCU